rnacentral:rRNA from 1 species
AGUGAACGCUGGCGGUAGGCCUAACACAUGCAAGUCGAACGGCAGCACAGUAAGGGCUUGCUCUUACGGGUGGCGAGUGGCGGACGGGUGAGGAAUACAUCGGAAUCUACUUUUUCGUGGGGGAUAACGUAGGGAAACUUACGCUAAUACCGCAUACGACCUACGGGUGAAAGCAGGGGAUCUUCGGACCUUGCGCGAUUGAAUGAGCCGAUGUCGGAUUAGCUAGUUGGCGGGGUAAAGGCCCACCAAGGCGACGAUCCGUAGCUGGUCUGAGAGGAUGAUCAGCCACACGGGAAGUGAGACACGGUCCAGACUCCUACGGGAGGCAGCAGUGGGGAAUAUUGGACAAUGGGCGCAAGCCUGAUCCAGCCAUACCGCGUGGGUGAAGAAGGCCUUCGGGUUGUAAAGCCCUUUUGUUGGGAAAGAAAAGCAGCAGGUUAAUACCCCGCUGUUCUGACGGUACCCAAAGAAUAAGCACCGACUAACUUCGUG